rnacentral:rRNA from 1 species
AGCAAACAGGAUUAGAUACCCUGGUAGUCCACGCNNNAAACGAUGUCUACUAGUUGUCGGGCCUUAAUUGGCUUGGUAACGCAGCUAACGCGUGAAGUAGACCGCCUGGGGAGUACGGUCGCAAGAUUAAAACUCAAAGGAAUUGACGGGGACCCGCACAAGCGGUGGAUGAUGUGGAUUAAUUCGAUGCAACGCGAAAAACCUUACCUACCCUUGACAUGCCAGGAACCCCGCUGAAAGGUGGGGGUGCUUGGAAGAGAGCCUGGGCACAGGUGCUGCAUGGCUGUCGUCAGCUCGUGUCGUGAGAUGUUGGGUUAAGUCCCGCAACGAGCGCAACCCUUAUCAUUAGUUGCUACGCAAGGGCACUCUAAUGAGACUGCCGGUGACAAACCGGAGGAAGGUGGGGAUGACGUCAAGUCCCCAUGGCCCUUAUGGGUAGGGCUUCACACGUCAUACAAUGGUCGGUACAGAGGGCUGCCAACCCGCGAGGGGGAGCUAAUCCCAGAAAACCGAUCGUAGUCCGGAUUGCAGUCUGCAACUCGACUGCAUGGAGUCGGAAUCGCUAGUAAUCGCGGAUCAGCAUGUCGCGGUGAAUACGUUCCCGGGUCUUGUACACACCGCCCGUCACACCAUGGGAGUGGGUUUUACCAGAAGUAGUUAGCCUAACCGCAAGGAGGGCGAUUACCACGGUAGGGCUCAUGACUGGGGUGAAGUCGUAACAAGGUAACCAAGGGCGAA